rnacentral:rRNA from 1 species
CCUACGGGAGGCUGCAGUGAGGAAUAUUGGUCAAUGGGCGAGAGCCUGAACCAGCCAAGUCGCGUGAAGGAUGACGGCCCUACGGGUUGUAAACUUCUUUUGUCAGGGAGCAAUUGAGUCCACGUGUGGGCUUAGCGAGAGUACCUGAAGAAAAAGCAUCGGCUAACUCCGUGCCAGCAGCCGCGGUAUUACGGAGGAUGCGAGCGUUAUCCGGAUUUAUUGGGUUUAAAGGGUGCGUAGGCGGAAUAUCAAGUCAGCGGUAAAAAUUCGGGGCUCAACCUCGUCGUGCCGUUGAAACUGGUGGUCUUGAGUGGGCGAGAGGUAUGCGGAAUGCGUGGUGUAGCGGUGAAAUGCAUAGAUAUCACGCAGAACUCCGAUUGCGAAGGCAGCAUACGGGCG